CAUGCAGAAAUGUCACAUCGCUGAGACAGAGGCCAUAGCUACUCACACCAACUCACAGCUCCCAGGGCCAGGCCAAGGCCAUGGUUCCCAGUGAACUCCAGCACCUGGGCUGGUGCCCAGACACUUGGAGACAAAGCCUUGGACAAGAUCAAGCUAGGCAGAGUUUUUUGUCCAUGGCAGAGAACCUCCUGGAGAAACAGAGGCCAUGGGUCCUGACGCCUGAGCCAGCAACUACUCUGAGCACACUGUGAAGGGCGGCUGUGAAUUUUUCUUCUCUCUCAAACAACGAUGCAAUCAUUGGGAUCACUUGUCCUCCUGGGAUGGGUUUGUGUGAGACUGAUGUCUUCCAAAAAACACAGCCCCAAGGGAGUCGAGACGAUGUACCAGGUAGAAUAAGGCACAGGGGAGCCAUUUGACGAAUCAGACAACAGCAGCCGGCCUGCCUGCCAGGUUCCUGCUGGGCACCAUUUCCAGCCCGUGGGGUGAGCACUGAGGAGGCAGCAGGACGCUGAGCUGGCUGCCAACCCGUCUGCUGCUCCACCCACUCUGGUUCUGACUCAGAUGGCACCAGUGGCUCCAGCCCAGGGGACGCCCUGCUCUUGGGCCUCACCAGUUUCUGCAGCUGAGCUCUCCAGGGGCCUGGGGGAGCCACCUGGGGCUACACAGUUCCUCAGAUCACACCUGCUCCACGGCAGAGCUCCGGAAGGAGCCAAGGUGCAGAAUGACAGCAUGGUCCAGCCCUGGUCACAAGUCUCCCUCCACAGCCCGUUCCUCACGCUGCUUAAAGUGGAAUUUCCAGAUGAGUGCCACACCCAGGCGACAUCCAGGUGGGGCCAGCGCUGCUCAGUUCCAGAGCAAGGAGGUGGUGACCUUCCUGCACCGUCACCAGCUCCUGGGCUUCCCGGCAGCGGGAGGGAGACAGGGGGCCCACGGCUUGCAGCUGAACCUCCAGAAUUCCAGAAGCCCCAGUGCCAGCUCCAGGGAGAAGCCAGACAGCCUCUAGCUCAGUGA
rnacentral:lncRNA from 1 species